GUGAGCAGAGCAGCAGGUAGAUUUUAGCCUUCACAUGCCUCUCUUGGUUGGGUCCCUUGUGCAGUGAACAACCUGGACAGCUGUACCAGAAAGCCCUACAGAUAGAUAAUACUUACCUUAUAUGGAUGCUGUGAGAACUAAAUGAGAUAAUGGAUGUAAAAUUUUUGGCACUGUGCCCAACACUUACUAAGUGCUCAAUAAAUAGUAACUAAGUAUUGUGACUCAGUCUGGCAGGUCUCUGGUAGUCUGUGACAUAACUGCAAGUCCUCAGCUCCUCCCUUUCUCACCACCCACCCCCAAACCUGCUAACCUUUCCUGAAUGGCCUCAGUGACCUGCCUCUCCCUCCAGGGCUCUGCAGGUUUGGCCGGCCCACCAGGGAACAGGGUUCUGGCCGGGUUUAGGACACCGUGGCUUUCAGUUUGGCGAGGGCCCCAGAUAUGCCAGGGCCCAGCUGGCAAGUCCUUCCUGCUCCAAGGUUCUGAAGGUCCCAGCGGCCGGCCCUGCCCUCCAGUCUCCUCCCUCGGACCCGAGGCAGAUGGAAAUCAGAAUGCAGUGGAUCUUCAGGGUCCAGCCGCAGCAGGCCCAGAAGCCCCCAUGAUAGCCCAGGCCCCUCUGACCUCACCCCUUCUCUCUGGGCAGGUCCCAGCAGCAGAGACAGGAAUCGCCGGACCCCGGGGCCUCCGGGAGCCACGUGUGCCAGCGCAGCGCCUGCCAGCUCCCAGGCUGACCUCACAAUGGCUCCUUUCACCAGGAGAGGAGCUGGCCCGGCCCGGAGCCUGCGGGGGGAUGUCCCAGGCCCCAGGGCGUGGGGUGGGAGGUUGGAAACUGGGGAAUGGGCUGCUGAGGCUGGGAGAGCUGAAGGAUCUCAGCGCCACAUCCACCACCCGAUGUCAAGAGCCCGAGAGAAGAACAGGAAAGGCAGAGAGGACUGGCGACAGCGCUGACUCACCGGGAGGUGGGGCGGGCAGCCGGAUCCGGAAGGGCAAGGAGUGCGGCCAAUUCAUCCUUCUUUCCUUGGACAUUCACUGGAAUAAGGCUGGGCCCUGAGUCAGAGGCCUGAAUCCACCCAGCCCAGAGCCUUGAGAGGCUCACAGGCCAGUGAGGCAGGAAAACGUGUUCAACUGAAACCUGGUCCCCGCGUUCCUCUAGGAAGAUGAGGGUCUUUGCACGGCCAAGUGCAUCGAUGGCCAGCUUGGGUAUGGAAGCCACAGCCCCUCCCUGCCAUGGCCUGGAGGCCUGGAGGGCGGCUGGGAGGCCUUGGGUAAGGAAAUAAGAGGAGACUUGAGACCUGCCAGCAAGAGGAGUGGAUGAGAGCAGAGAAAUGGAACCAGAGGAAAGAAGCAAACUGUCUAGAUUCCAGAACUUCCUGGGGUGGAAAGUUUGCUGGACACGUAAGAAGAAGGAUAUUUCAGACUCAGAUUUCUGUCGCUCAGUGGUGGCUUCCCUCCACUGUCAACACCAGCCUUCCAGACCACGCGCCACGCCCCAGCCUGGUCAACGCUGAGGGUGGGAAGGG
rnacentral:lncRNA from 1 species